rnacentral:rRNA from 1 species
UGGCGGACGGGUGAGUAACGCGUGGGUAACCUGCCUUAUACCGGGGGAUAACAGCCAGAAAUGGCUGCUAAUACCGCAUAAGCGCACAGAACCGCAUGGUUCCGUGUGAAAAACUCCGGUGGUAUAAGAUGGACCCGCGUUGGAUUAGCUAGUUGGCAGGGCAGCGGCCUACCAAGGCGACGAUCCAUAGCCGGCCUGAGAGGGUGAACGGCCACAUUGGGACUGAGACACGGCCCAGACUCCUACGGGAGGCAGCAUG